GACAGAGGGUGCAAACGUUGUUCGGAAUUACUGGGCGUAAAGCGCGUGUAGGCGGCUCGGAAAGUCGGGUGUGAAAGCCCUGGGCUCAACCCAGGAAGUGCACUCGAAACUUCCAAGCUUGAGUUUUGGAGAGGAAGGCGGAAUUCUCGGUGUAGAGGUGAAAUUCGUAGAUAUCGAGAGGAACACCGGUGGCGAAGGCGGCCUUCUGGACAGUGACUGACGCUGAGACGCGAAAGCGUGGGGAGCAAACAGG
rnacentral:rRNA from 1 species